rnacentral:rRNA from 1 species
AAAAAAAAAAACGCGUGGGGCAUCUGCCUUUGAGCGGUGGACAACAUUUGGAACCGAAUGCUACUACCGCAUAAACACUUUAAACACACGUUUUAAGUUUGAAAGAUUCAAUUGCAUCCCUCAAAGCUGAUCCCGCGUUGUAUUAGCUAGUUGUUUAGGUAAAUGCUCACCAAGGCGAUUAUACAUAGCCGACCUGAGAGGGUGAGCGGAAACAUGGGGACUGAGACACGGCCCAAACUAAUACGGGAGGCAGCAGUAGGGAAGAUGAGGCAAGGGAAGAAAGGCGGACCGAGAAACGCCGCGUGAGGGAAGAAGGGUUUCUGUUUUUU